UAUUUGUGUUGCAGGAACUAUCCUCUACUGAUGGCUACAUGGAAGGUAGCCCCUGCAUUGGCUGCUGGUUGUACAGCUGUGCUGAAGCCAUCUGAACUGGCUUCUGUGACUUGCUUAGAGCUUGCUGAUAUCUGUAAAGAAGUCGGUCUCCCUUCUGGUGUCUUGAACAUUGUGACAGGAUUAGGUCCUGAUGCUGGCGCUCCUUUGUCAGCACACCCAGAUGUUGACAAGGUAAACUAUUCUGCAUAUAAUGACAUAAUCAUGCAUGAGCACUCCUCAUAGCAUGGGUUUUCUGUUUAUUUAGGUCACUUUUACUGGGAGUUUUGAAACUGGCAAGAAAAUUAUGGCAUCGACAGCUCCUAUGGUCAAGCCUGUUACACUGGAA